CAACCACAAUUAUCGUUAUCUGAUCAGGAUUUAAGUUGUGACUAAAUUAACGGCAGGACGAUUAGUUCCUCUGCCGCCGAGUGACAAGGAGACGUGUUAGAAGUGAAAAUUUCAAUACUGUAUAAUUAUUUUCAUAACGUUUUUAUUUACCUCAUUCUGAAAUUGUUAGUCUAACAAUUACGAAAACCAGCACUGUACCAACACUUAAGAAAUUCCGACAGGAUUUUUUAGCAUCAUGGAGGUCAACAAUGGGAUGUCAGUGUUUGUCCAGGGAGCUGCCGAAGAACCGCAAACUUUCACAAUUCGCCAACCCGUUAAAAAGAAAACUGUCAAAACCACUGCUAUUCUACAAAUUGUUUUUGGUUCCCUGUGCCUAUUUUGGGGGAUUUGGACAGGAAUCAUUUAUUUAGAUUUUUCUUUAACCUAUUUUAGUGCAUGGCUGUAUAUUCCUUCAGGAGCAGUUGGUCUACGGGCGGCCUCCAAAAAUAACAUAUGCGCAGUGGUGGCUUAUCAGACGAUGUCCUUAUUCGCUUGUAUCGCCUCUUCUUCUCAGUCAUUAACUUUUCUCAUCCGAUGCUUCUUACCUAGAAGGAUACCGGU